UCCCAUAUGGUGUAGUGGCUAGCAUACCUCGCUUUCACCGAGGAGUCCGGGGUUCAAUUCCCCGUGUGGGAA
rnacentral:tRNA from 1 species